rnacentral:rRNA from 1 species
GGGGAAUAUUGGACAAUGGGCGAAAGCCUGAUCCAGCAAUGCCGCGUGUGUGAAGAAGGCCUUCGGGUUGUAAAGCACUUUCAAUAGGGAGGAAAAGUUAUGUCCUAAUACGGCAUAACCCUGACGUUACCUAUAGAAGAAGCACCGGCUAACUCCGUGCCAGCAGCCGCGGUAAUACGGAGGGUGCAAGCGUUAAUCGGAAUUACUGGGCGUAAAGCGCGCGUAGGCGGUUUGCUAAGUCAGAUGUGAAAUCCCCGGGCUUAACCUGGGAACUGCAUUUGAGACUGGCAGGCUAGAAUGUGGUAGAGGUGAGUGGAAUUCCAGGUGUAGCGGUGAAAUGCGUAGAGAUCUGGAGGAACAUCAGUGGCGAAGGCGACUCACUGGGCCAUUAUUGACGCUGAGGUGCGAAAGCGUGGGUAGCAAAC